rnacentral:rRNA from 1 species
GACGUAGGGGGCGAGCGUUGUCCGGAAUGACUGGGCGUAAAGGGCGCGUAGGCGGCCCGGCUUGUCGGGGGUGAAAGGGAUCGGCUCAACCGAUCCUCGCGUCCGAGACGGCCGGGCUGGAGGGCAGGAGAGGUCGGCGGAAUUCCGGGUGGAGUGGUGAAAUGCGUAGAGAUCCGGAGGAACACCGGAGGCGAAGGCGGCCGACUGGACUGUCCCUGACGCUGAGGCGCGAAAGCGUGGGGAGC